rnacentral:lncRNA from 1 species
UAGUAACCAGUAGUGGUCCGUGAGCUGGAUAGUCAAAGCAAUCCUCCUUAUCAAAGAUCGGCUCAGAAUCAAUGUCGAAGACCGGGCCAAGGUCGUCGUCCAUGUGGCCGUUAGCAUGACCGUCCGUCUCAUCGAAGAUGGGACCGUUCCAAGCCUUCCUCGCAACAAGUAAUGGUCCAUGAUGUGGGUAGUCAAAGGACUCCUCUUCCUCAUCAAAGAUAGGACCAAGAUCCUCCUUGUUCUCUUGCUCGUCCUCGGACUCAAC